UAGGGAAUCUUCCACAAUGGACGCAAGUCUGAUGGAGCAACGCCGCGUGAGUGAAGAAGGGUUUCGGAUCGUAAAGCUCUGUUGUUGGUGAAGAAGGAUAGAGGCAGUAACUGGUCUUUAUUUGACGGUAAUCAAACAGAAAGUCACGGCUAACUACGUGCCAGCAGUCGCGGUAAUACGUAGGUGGCAAGCGUUGUCCGGAUUUAUUGGGCGUAAAGCGAGCGCGGGCGGAAUGAUAAGUCUGAUGUGAAAGCCCACGGCUCAACCGGGGAUCUGCAUCUGGAUCUGUCAUUCUGUAGUGCAGAAGUGGAGAGUGGAAUUCCAUGUGUAACGGGUGUAUGCGUAGAUAUAUGGAAGAACACCAGUGGCGAAGGCGGCUCUCUGGUUUGAAACUAUAGCUGAGGCUCGAAAGCAUGGGUAGCGAACAGG
rnacentral:rRNA from 1 species